AGUUAACGCUGGCGGUAGGCCUAACACAUGCAAGUCGAACGGCAGCACAGGAGAGCUUGCUCUCUGGGUGGCGAGUGGCGGACGGGUGAGGAAUACAUCGGAAUCUACCUUUUCGUGGGGGAUAACGUAGGGAAACUUACGCUAAUACCGCAUACGACCUACGGGUGAAAGUGGGGGACCGCAAGGCCUCACGCGAUUAGAUGAGCCGAUGUCCGAUUAGCUAGUUGGCGGGGUAAUGGCCCACCAAGGCGACGAUCGGUAGCUGGUCUGAGGGGAUGAUCAGCCACGCUGGAACUGGGACACGGUCCAGACUCCUACGGGAGGCAGCAGUGGGGAAUAUUGGACAAUGGGCGCAAGCCUGAUCCAGCCAUACCGCGUGGGUGAAGAAGGCCUUCGGGUUGUAAAGCCCUUUUGUUGGGAAAGAAAUCCUGUCGAUUAAUACUCGGUGGGGAUGACGGUACCCAAAGAAUAAGCACCGGCUAACUUCGUGCCAGCCGCCGCAGUAAUAC
rnacentral:rRNA from 1 species